rnacentral:snRNA from 1 species
UCGCACAAUUGGUCAUCGCG